rnacentral:rRNA from 1 species
UACAGAGACUGCAAGCGUUAUUCGGAUUCACUGGGCGUAAAGGGUGCGCAGGCGGUUGGGUGUGUCAGAUGUGAAAUCCCGAGGCUCAACCUCGGAACUGCGUCUGAAACUACUCGACUAGAGUAUUGGAGAGGGUAACGGAAUUCACGGUGUAGCAGUGAAAUGCGUAGAGAUGUGGAGGAACACCAGUGGCGAAGGCGGCUCUCUGGUCUGUAACUGACGCUGAGGCGCGAAAGCGUGGGGAGCAAACAGG